rnacentral:lncRNA from 1 species
GAUGCUGCUCAAAUGCCAAUUGGGCAACCCAAGAGUCCUUGAGCCCACAAAGAUAGAGAAUGCCGUGAGUCACUGCCACGUGUCCGAGGUAGUCGAAGGGACUGCUCCGUUCGUUAACCUACAAAACAAUUGAAACACUAGAUGACACGCCGGGUUUGGCCCGGCGAUUAUCCUCCGACGCUCAAGUCAGAAGAUGUAUUAAUAUAAGCAAAUAAU